UACUUUUGAUCCAUAUGAAAGACUCAAAAAACAGGCAUAUUUUCAAACAGCUUUCUUCACCAUCAGUGAUGUACCUGUGCUUGAUGUUACUAUUCUUCACAAAAUGUGAUAAUAAUGUUAACUGUUAACAUAAAAACAAAGUUUGGCUCUGCAGAAGCGGCUGGAAACGAAUAACCACAAUAUACUUAGAUCUCUUGGUUUGGUUUGGCAUAUACUGCUGAAAGUUCCUCAUAUUUAGGAAUUCUUCUAAGUGAAAUACUUAUUUUGUGUCUCAGCUGGUGUGCUUAAGGAAAUAUUCAUUUUUCAGCAGUAACAUGGAAUUUGAUUUUUUAAAAUUUUUUUUAUAAAUUUAGUGGAUUGAAACAC
ensembl:misc_RNA